AAAAGUGUAGGGUCCAAAGAAUCACUUGAUAAUUUUUUAGAUGUUUUUCUGUUAAGUUGACAAUAAGGUUGCAAUUGUAACGUUACCAAGUCCCCAACAUGGAAAAUAGUAUCAAGUUUGUUCUUAUUUACUUGUAUCUCAUUUUUCUCAAUAUUUUGUUGCAUGUUCAGUAAGGUGGAGAACUUAUACCAUUGGCGAGGGUGAUUGGUGACAAAACAUCUAAGUAUCUUGGAUAUUAAAAAACUAUUUCUAGCAAGUAUUGAGAAACAAAGGAUCUCGAUCAAAGACUAUGGAUUGUUGAAUAUCGUGUAGGCGGAAGAUUUUUACUAAGAAGCGAGAUGCAAGGUCUUUAGCUGAGAACUUGGCCGACAAGGCGACGAAGUUCAUAAAUUUGGUGAGCCGAUCACAGAUUAUCCAAAUGACAAUAUGGUCAAAGGAGUUUGGUAGAUGUGUUAUAAAAUCCAUGAGGUCAAGCCAAGCAGAAGAGGCUGACAACCGCGCUAUUGUGGUGUUAACACCAUAAUGACUUAUUAUUGGGGUGCAUUGAUACUUAUGCAACAGAGAGUUGCGAAGCCCUUAAAGGUUAGGUACAAAAAAUUUAUCUUUGUAAUAAAAUAGUCCUUUUGAAAAGGUGUACAACUUGUGUUCACUAUCAUUUUGUUCCACCUGUUUUACCAAAACUUUUGACGUUUUUAAGAGAUAAACUGGGGAGGACAAAGUGAACAACAAGGAUUCUUCACUAAUAAAUUUCUCACUCAAAACAUCAGCUACUUGAUUUAAUUUACGAGGUUUGCAAAAGCAUCAAAUUAAUUUCUUAUAAUUUUGAAGUCCAUUUUUGUUGUUCUGGUAUCUGGAUUUUUUGGAGAAGCAAAUUUCUUAGACUUUUUUAUUUGUAUACAUAUGAAAAUAUUUGCCAAUAAGAUACUGGAGCCAUUUUUUAUUGAUUAUGUGACACCAUAAUUUUCUCGCACAUAAACUGAAGUGACUUGCAUUCUAUGACACAUUAUCUUACCAUAGAAGGUGAAGGGGUGACUAUCUGGAGAGAACACUUCAUUGAUGGCUACACCAAAAGCAUCCCAACAAUGAGUUGAAAAUUGAUUAGAAGAUAAUGUCAAGUAACAUUUGUCUGCAAAAUAUAUUUUUUUGGUUUGGACAUGUGUUAGAGGGUGGUACAUGUAAAACACUCUGAUGUCCCAAUCAAUAAAUAAAACAAAAAAACAAUACUUUUAAAUUUUCAAGAGUGUAUACUUUAGUUUAGUUUUAUGGCCGAGACCUUUUAUAUAAUAUAGGAGUAUUAUUAAGGUUUUGGACAAUCCUCUAUAUAGUAAUUAGUUCUGUCAAUUAAACAAAAUUAAAAGAAAAAAGAGAAUUAAAGGAAAAGGAGUGAAAUAUUCAAUAUAUUGUUCAAAAAGACCCGUGGAUUUGAGAUGGUCAUAAUACAUUAAUCCCCAUUUUUCAACACAUACAUGAACUUUGAAAGUCUAGGGGUCCAUUAUUGGUGAGUUAGCUUUGUUAGUUAGAAGUCUACGGAUACAUUUUACAAGGUCACGUGUCAACUUGUCCUGUCCACAUCUAAUUGGUUCAUUGAAUAACAAUGUUUCAUUUCUAUAGCAGUUAUUCUUCUUCAAUUAAAGGUAUUAAGUACUUCUAAGAAACAUAAUUUAAUUUAAUUUAAAGUACUAAGCUUUUUAUUUUUAAAUAAUGGUCAAUGCAUCAAAACAACAUCGAAAUAAGACUAACUCAAUAGUUGAUUUAGUAGUAGAGACUUAGGUUUUGGAAUUGGAAGUAUACUCCUCUCAUAAUCUUGAAUUCGAUUUCUAUUAUAUAUUAAUAAUUUUUGUGUUACACGCUAAUUCUUACACAACUUUUGAAAAAUCAUGUAAGAAAAAUUAUAUCCGUAUUAAAAUAAUUUAUUUAAAUAUAAAAGAAGAAAAAUCAUUUAAAGGAGUGAUUUCAAAUCAUAAAAUUACCUUAAACUAUAAGGCUUAAACCACUCGAUAUAGAAGGAUGAAGAACAAAAGUAAAAAAAAUAUAAUUGAAGUGGCACUUAGGUGAAGGUUGAAGAUAUUUAUUGUCUAAAAAAAAUCUUUUUAAAGACCUCAAUACCAUAUGAGACAGGUGAAGGAUAUAUUAAAUUCAUUUAAUUAAGUUAAAAUAUAUAUUAGUGUUGUCUUGACGAUAUCAAAGCAUCACUAUCCAAGUUGGAAAAACAAAAAUGAAAAAUAUUUAUGUUUUUAAUAAUACAAGUAGGUUGACUUUUUGUCGUCCUUGACAUUAAUUAGUAAUGCUUCCAAUAAAAAUUAAGCAUAAUAUUAAUAUUAUUAUUGUAAAAUUCACCCACUUCCUCAUUUUUUUUUCAAAAAUAAUUUUUAAAUUUUGAUUGAUAAGAUUGUGGGAGUGAGUUCAAACUUACAUUGGAGUAUAUCACCAACUAAACAUUUUACAAAUGAAAGCUUUACGUGCCCAAAAAAAAAAAAGAAAAUAUAAUGGAAAAAUAAGUACUAGUUGCUUAGAUAUUUUAAAUAGUUAUAUACUAGUCUAACUGAAGAAUUCAUAUUUUUAAUUUCAAAUGGGAUUUGUUUAAUUUGUUUGACUCUAUAGAAUAAAAUAGUCAUAAGUGCAAGUUGGCAUAUCUAAUGAUUCUGCCUUAUCCUCGAUCUUGUCUGAAUUUUAUUCAGCAUAUUGGCCUGCAUAUAAUUCUAUUUGACGUGAAUUACAAUUUCUAUAUGUUCAUGCAAAGGUACAAGCGUGAUACCCUUAUUUUGUUUUUGUUUUCUCAACUGCAUACACCUAUUCGUUUAGUGGCUUUUCGAGGCCGUGUAACAUAUCUAAUAUUGUAGCUAGGGCUGGACAGUGGUUCGGACUGGUUUGAGUUCGGGCCCAAACCCCUAAACCUGUCUAAUUCACGGUGAUGUUUAUAGGUCCAAUUUCCAACCGAUUCAAAUAUCGGUUUUUAUAGAUUCGGAUGGAAUCGGUUUCGGUAAUGUAAGUUGGGUUGUUUUGGAUAUUGAAUUUAAUUGGGCCAGUUUAAAAUUUAAUCCCAACUUAUAAAACAACAUAAUUUCAAUGAAAAUUCUUUGUACAUCCAUAUAGGGUGAAAAACACCCAUGAAAACUCCAAAAUACCUUUCGGAGAUCUCCAAAGACACCCAUAUUCUAAUUUUCAAGAUUUCGGAUAUGCAUCUCCGAAAUCACCCAGAUCAACU